ACCUGUAUCUUGACUUUUACACAUAACUUACGAAUGUCAAUACUUAGAACAGUUUAGAUAAUGAUCAGAAAAUAAUGCAAAUUUUAGGGCGGGUUAUCUGAAAGAAAAUCAAGAUGUGAAUUUUUCCCAAGGAUCUUAGCCUACAGUACACUCCUUGCAUACAUUCAGCCUUUUGGUCAUACUUAUAUUUUGCAGAAAAAGUAGAUUUGAUAAUAUUUUCUUCAUUCCUUUUUUCCCCAUCUUCUGAAACUUCAACUCACAUCAGCAAAAUAACAUGAUCCACUGGGGAAGUUGUUGUAUUUUUCCAUUGUCUAUAAGCUAGAGAAAAAUUGAAAUCAAAUCUGAAAUUAAAAAUUUGGCAGAAUAUGAAUUGAAGUUAGUAUUAACUAGAAACUUCAGCACAAAGUAUGUUUGCCUGAUCAAAGCAACAUUCUAUAUCCCAUGGAAGCUUUUGAAGAAUAUUUAGAAAAAAAACAAGUGGGAAAAAUCUCUCCGUGCCAGAUUUUAGGCUGUUUUUUAAACAUACAUCAAGGCAAAGCCAUAAAGCAGCCAAUUGCCUGUAUCUUCUGCCAAGAGCAGCAUUCCCCUCUCUCGCUCGUUUUCCUCUCCUCCUCCCUCAGAAUGAAUGAGAUCAAGAUCAAGAAAGCUGUGUCAGGCUCUUGAAGCACUUUUCAAGUUUGCAGAAAUACUGUGCUCAGAUGAGUACACACACACAGAGUUUUAGGUGUAACAGGCUGAUCUGCCCAAGUCCCUUUAAAUGUCUCUGCCACUACCACAACAAGGAGCAAAUGCAGGAUGAAGGAGGUGGCAGCACCAAUAAGUGAUCAAGAGCAGCAGACAAUUUGGUAGCCAACAGCAAGCUAAAAAGACAUGGGGUCACAGAAGGAGGGGAGAGAGAGGGUAGCAUUUGCUUUGGGCGCCAGAAAUGCCUCCAUACAUCUCUGUGCUAAUAUUAUGAUUAUUACUUUGGCAGAAGCCUUUUUGUUUUUUUUUCCAAGCUGAUCCUGUUCCCCCCUUGUGCAGGUAUUGAGUCUGCACUUGGCCAAAAAAGCAAAAGAAGCGAGGCCAUCGGUUUUAGAUUUGCUGUGCUCUCUCCAAGAUACAUAAGAUGAGAAAGGAGGGGAAAGUAGGAGUGGUGGAGGGGAAAUGAGGAAGAAAAACAUCUUAGCGGUCACAACCUGGGUAAGGACCUUGACUUUUCUAAUACUUUUAGUCCAUAGUGAAUGUGGCAAGGAUGAAGAGAAAAUAAGUUUUUAAUUCCAAGUUGUCUUUGCUGUAAAUAACUGAUAUAAAUAACUCUGUUCUGCCUGAAGCUGUCUGAAGACAUUAGGACAGCCUCCGUACUAGAAUGUUUAUUGGAGGCAGCUACAGUCAAAUCCUACUCCUCUCUCUCACUUUUCCCUCUUCUUUCAAACCACAGUACAUAUAUCACUGAAGACCUUUUAGAGCUGUCACUAGGUUAUGUCAGCCAAAGCCCACUGCACAUCACAUGCUGAAUCAGCAGCCUCCACACAGCGCUGCCCGUGUCUGGCACCAGUGCCCAAGGGCAGCUACACACUUCUAGAUUCUCCAUAGCCUGAAAAGCACCUUACUAAUACUGAAAGUUUUGCUUUCGAGCAGAAUUAUUCCUUCAGGCCCCUCCCAUUCCUCAGACCCUUUCCAAUUGUUCCUUUAUUCCACUCAAAAUAAAGCCCUGAACACUGAGAUAUUUCUGCAUCCCUGCUGCAGUUGCAAGCCCCUGCAAUAUGAUCCUUCUCAGCACAUUUCCCUGAGACUCCCUAGCAUGUAUAAGCAUGCCAAAAUAUGAGGCAGUGAGGGUACAAAUAAAAGUAGAAGCUGAAUUUGUGCAUUUCAGUCAAGCAUGUUGUGAUUUAGAUUAUAAAUUUAAGCCAUUCAGUCUUAAAUUAUCAUUCCAGGAGCCUGUAUUUCCAGUUUGUAUUUUUUAAUUUCCUAUUCACUGCUUGCUUUCCCCUGAUAACCUUUCACAAAUUCUUUGAACAUUUCAUUAAUUUCACCCUUUUUUCAUCUCAUACUAUUAUUCUGACAUUUGUUUUCAUAUUUACCUCCCUCAUAAACCUUUUUUUUUUAUCAUACAUCUUCUUCCUCCUUCUGCUCAAAACUCCUAACAGUGUUUCACACAAUUCUUCCUCUUUGUAAAGCCUCUUUUCUGCCAGCCUCCAUUUGCUUGUAUCUGAAACCACUACAUUCACUUGUCCUGUUUAGGGCCUAGAUCCUGAAACCCAUCUUAAAUCAGAAAAACACUUAAGCAAGUAUUUAAUACUGGGACUCAUUUUGGCAUGAAUUGCAAGGUAAGCAUUUACCUCACAUUUCCUAUCACAGAAUCAAAGAAUCAUAGAAUGGCCUGGGUUGAAAAGGACCACAAUGAUCAUUUAGUUUCAACCCCCCUGCUAUGUCCAGGGUCACCAACCACUAGACCAGGCUGCCCAGAGCCAUAUCCAGCCUGGCCUUGUAAGCCUCUAUGGAUAUAGAAUCAUAUCAUAGAAUGUCCUGGGUUAAAAAUGAUCAUCUAGUUUCAACGUUUAGCUUCUUUGCCAGAUACAUGUAGGCUCUAUAUGUGUGUAUGUAUGUGUGUGCGUAUAUACACAUACAAAAAAUCAUAUAUGUAAGCAAAGAGUGCUUCUCAAAUCUUCUUGUAUUUAGAUGAUGGCUGCCAGCACAGAUGGCUCUUGAAGCUCUGGGAAGAGGCUGAGCUUCACAGAACUGCUUCUUGGUGGGAACCUGCAGAAAUGGAUGGCAUGCCCAUAAGCCCCAUGGGCACACAGAUAGAGAACACCAUCAGGUUGCACAGAGAGCAUAACCUUUACAGCAAAGAGCUUUCAAAGGAUUUCCAUCCACUGCUACUAAUGCUAUUUCACAACUUUUGGAAGAGAAGAAAUUGCAUCAUAUGGGAUCUGGAAAAAGCUAAUUCCAGCUGAAAUGCAUUUGGCACAACAUUGAAUGACUUAGCUGGAGCUCCUCAGUGACAAAAACCAUGAUACAGGAAAGAGAGACGAGAUUACAGUUCCUUCCUCUGCCUUUUCACAAGAGUCUUUCAAGCAUGUAUGUCUGAUCUGAAGCAUGCUUGAUGACGCUGUCCUCUCAUACUUCACACUUUGCAUCCCACAGUGUCACCUCUCAUUCUUCUGAGUACCCAACUACCUUCUAAUCCUGCUUUCAGCAAUCCCAUCUGCAUAAGAACAUGAAAAUAGUCUUUUUGCACAAAUUUAUGAGAGAAAUACCAUAAUCUGACUUUAUGAAAGUGGGUGUUAAAUUGUCUUGUGAUAGUUAUGCAUUUUUUUUUGCUUACGUUGUUUCCAGAAGAGGGAAUGGAGAGAUGAAGAACGUGUCCAGGAAUAAAGACAGAAGUGGGAAAAGUUUUUAAGGACAUUCUCCUAUAUUUCUGCCGCAGUAUUGCACUUUCACACCAGCAAAUAUGAUUCAUCCACUUUAUGUAUUUGUGACUAGAUGUGAAAUUAUCCCUCCUUCUUUUUCUUGUAAUGUUUUUCUUCAUUUCAAUAUCAGAACAACGUAUCAUCACACCUUUUUGUUUGUUUGUUUGUUUGUUUGCUUUUUUCCCUGUACAUGUACACCAUAAGCAUUUUCAAUAGCGCAGGUAUCUUUACAAGAUUUUGUUUCACAAAGAGAUUGUAUACUUAAUUAAAGAGAAAACAACAGACUUGCAUACAGCAACACAUCCACACACAUCCACUCACAAAACAAUAAAUGAGAGUAAGUCUUCUGUGACAGCACUAUUUUCCACUGUCUAGAUGAUUAGAGAGUCCAGUGCUUUUUAUCAAAGACAACCUCUUUCUCUCCUUUCGAGCUUUAAAUAAAUACUUGUGCUAAUUGCAGAUACUAGCAAAAUGCAGCACCAAAACUGGCAUGGAUGUGAAAGGGAAUAAACAAGCUAUGGUAGAUUAAACAUUGUUUUUCUGUCACUGUCAGAAUGUAUAAUAAAGAGUCCCAUGU